rnacentral:rRNA from 1 species
CUGGAACCUCUCGGGGUUACAGCCUUGCUGAAUUAUUCACCCUUGUCUUUUGCGUACUUCUUGUUUCCUUGGUGGGUUCGCCCACCACUAGGACAAACAUAAACCUUUUGUAAUUGCAAUCAGCGUCAGUAACAAAUUAAUAAUUACAACUUUCAACAACGGAUCUCUUGGUUCUGGCAUCGAUGAAGAACGCAGCGAAAUGCGAUAAGUAGUGUGAAUUGCAGAAUUCAGUGAAUCAUCGAAUCUUUGAACGCACAUUGCGCCCUUUGGUAUUCCAAAGGGCAUGCCUGUUCGAGCGUCAUUUGUACCCUCAAGCUUUGCUUGGUGUUGGGCGUCUUGUCUCUAGCUUUGCUGGAGACUCGCCUUAAAGUAAUUGGCAGCCGGCCUACUGGUUUCGGAGCGCAGCACAAGUCGCACUCUCUAUCAGCAAAGGUCUAGCAUCCAUUAAGCCUUUUUUUUCAACUUUUGACCUCGGAUCAGGUAGGGAUACCCGCUGAACUUAAGCAUAUCAAUAAGCGGAGGAA